UGCAGCUUUAGUCGUUUGGUUAUGGUUUCUUAUUAUAGCUUGAGUAGUUCUGCUAAUACAUAUUGCAUGCAUUUUGUUGUUCACGUGUGACGUACUCUCUCAUGGUUUGCAGUACUAAUUAACCUAGUUCUCUGCUUAAUUUAUUGUAUCUUCAUGGAGUUCCUUGUUGAGCAACUUGACUGAAAAGUUAUUGACUGCCUAGCUAGUUAGUUUCAUGUACUGUUUGUCAUCUUUUACUGAUGGUAGUGCUGACAGUAAACGCAUGUACGUACAACUGCUUCCGUGCAUGGUUUUCUAUCUGUCGAUUUAAAUAACACUUUUGUUAUUAAUCAAACGUUUAAUUUUUUUUCUUCUAUUAAACACGCGCGUAAUACAUGAGGGCUUGGAGGGAGGGGGCGUGUAUGAGAUUUUUUAUUUGCGUGCAUGCUUUUAGAUU
rnacentral:lncRNA from 1 species